UUUGAAACAUGGCUUGGCGCAUGCUGUUGCUAAUGAGGAAUCUAACCCUAAGUGUAAUUGUGCUCAAGAUAUUAGCUGACAACAGUAAUGAAACCAUUGCAGUUAACAAGACAUUUUAAAAUACUGCUUUCAUUUUCUUUACCAUUUUUUGAGUUAAUAUUUGUGUAUACUUUACAAUGAGCAUAAUAUAUUGGUACAGUCAUGCAUGUACAAAAGUACACAUAAAUAAGCAUACAUCUGCUGGGAGUGCAUACUCAACUUUGAAAAAGAAGAAUAUGAUAAGAAGAAUCAUUCUACCCAAUGUUAAGGCUUACUAAAUAACUUCAGCAAUCAAGACAGUAGGGUACUGGUGGAAGAAUAAAUAUGUAGAUCAAUGAAAUAUAAUAGAGGAAACAGAAUAGAAUCACAAAAGAAUGUACAACUGAUUUUUUUAAAGAAAAAAGGUACAAACAUGAUUUAAUAGAGGAAGGAUGGCCCUUUCAACAAUUGGUGAAGAAAAAAAAAAGUCUGUAGGCCAAGAAAAAAAAAAAGAAGAGCCUCAUACCUUUUACAAAAAUUAACUUAAAAUGAAUCAUUGAUUUAAACAUAUCAUGUAAAACUAUGAAACUUUUGGAAAAAAAAAAAAAACAGGAGGAAAUCUUCAAAACCUAUGGC
rnacentral:lncRNA from 1 species